rnacentral:rRNA from 1 species
ACGCACGUUGGCGGCGUGCUUAAUACCUGCAAGUCCACUGAAGCAGUGGUAGCAAUAUCGCUGUGGAGGUGGCGCACGGGUGAGUAACACGUAGGUAAUCUGCCUUCAGGUCUGGCAUAACUCCGGGAAACCGGGGCUAAUAGCAGAUGAUGCAGCGGCUCGACAUCGAGACAGUUGUUAAAGCUAUGGCGCCUGAAGAUGAGCCUGCGUCUGAUUAGCUAGUUGGCGGGGUAACGGCCCACCAAGGCAACGAUCAGUAGCUGGUCUGAGAGGAUGAUCAGCCACACUGGAACUGAGACACGGUCCAGACUCCUACGGGAGGCAGCAGUAAGGAAUAUUGCUCAAUGGGAGAAAUCCUGAAGCAGCAACGCCGCGUGAGGGACGAAGGGCUUUUGCUUGUAAACCUCUGUAGUGAGAGAAAAAAAUCCCAAUCUUUGGGACAUGAUGGUAGCUCAAAAGUAAGCCCCGGCUAACUACGUG